AUUGAACGCUGGCGGAAUGCUUUACACAUGCAAGUCGAGCGGCAGCGCGGGGGCAACCCUGGCGGCGAGCGGCGAACGGGUGAGUAACAUAUCGGAACGUACCCUGUCGUGGGGGAUAACUAUCCGAAAGGAUAGCUAAUACCGCAUACGACCUGAGGGUGAAAGCGGGGGAUCGCAAGACCUCGCGCGAUAGGAGCGGCCGAUAUCGGAUUAGCUAGUUGGUGAGGUAAAGGCUCACCAAGGCGACGAUCCGUAGCUGGUCUGAGAGGACGACCAGCCACACUGGAACUGAGACACGGUCCAGACUCCUACGGGAGGCAGCAGUGGGGAAUUUUGGACAAUGGGGGCAACCCUGAUCCAGCCAUUCCGCGUGAGUGAAGAAGGCCUUCGGGUUGUAAAGACUCUUUCGGUCAGGAACGAAACGGUGGCCCCUAAUACGGGCUACUAAUGACGUACCUGAAGAAGAAGCACCGGCUAACUACGUGCCAGCAGCCGACGGUAAAGUC
rnacentral:rRNA from 1 species